rnacentral:rRNA from 1 species
UACGAGGGGGGCAAGCGUUGUUCGGAAUUAUUGGGCGUAAAGGGCGCGUAGGCGGUUUGACAAGUCUGAUGUGAAAUCUCUGGGCUCAACCCAGAGUCUGCAUUAGAAACUGUCGGGCUUGAGUAUGGGAGAGGUGAGUGGAAUUUCCGGUGUAGCGGUGAAAUGCGUAGAUAUCUGCAGGAACACCCGUGGCGAAAGCGGCGCGCUGGACCACUACUGACGCUGAGGAACGAAAGCUAGGGGAGCAAACAGG